GUAUGGAUAAGAAGUGGGCUAUGUGACUUUUUAUUAGUAAGUGAACAAACGGUCCCUUGGUGCUGAGGUGCCGCCCCAGUUGUGAUGCCCAAAGAGGUUAUGGUGACGUGUCCACAGCUGCUCCCAUUGGCUGGGGGCUGUCUAUGAUGUCACAAAGGCACCUGUCAGUUGCCUGGCUAUAAAAGUGGGCCUCUCCCUCUUCCCAGCACAGACCUCAGAGGCAGCAGCUGUGGCACUCAGCUCUGGGGGAUCUCCUUCCUCAUGGAUGCAAAAUGGCAGGAGGAAGGAGGCACUCAUCCCGCAAUGGGAUGCUGAGGAACAGGCAGAAGGCAACCAGUGAGGUUUUCCCCGAGACCGAUCGUGAAAGUAAUGAAGAGAACAGCAGGACUGAAGCAAGGCAGUUUAUUUUCCUAAAUAAAUGCCUUUUUUUAAAAAGCAAAA